GCGCAGUUAAGAUCAGUUUCAUUUCGAUUAUCAAGCCUUCAACGUCAGCACAGAACAUACGGAUUGUGUCAUCGUGACAGGAUCGCUCAGAUCCUCGCGUUGGAUGGGCGUUUACAUUCGAUCGGUGUUCGCGAAUGAGCUUAUCCCAUCCGCGCUAACAACGGGAUUACACAAGCCGUGUUUAAAAUUACAACACCGAAAGUCAGAUUGACAGUAAUUGCAUAUAAAUAGAAAAUAAUUUAAAUCGGAACGAAUAGUUUAGUCAAAACAUUGUUUUUGAACCACAAUCCAAAUCAAAUUCGCCGAAAAAAAUUAAAUACUCAACAUGAAGGAACAAUAUUUAAUAAUCUACAUGUGUUCUAAUGUGCUUAUUGCGUGAAAACUUUGUUUCAAGGAUCGUCGUUCAGCUUUAUGAAAACAUUGUGAGAAUAUAUAUAAAUCUAACAACAUAUAUUUACAUUUACAGAUAUCAUUUAAUCUCGCCCAUGAGCAACUCUCUAAAAAUUCAAUUACUUAAAGGACCCAUCUAUGGAAAAAAAUUAAGACUCACCAAAAAUCGGAUAUGAAGAAAUCUCACCAAAACUAUUCCAACAAUCAAACUCAAUAGUCUCAUAAAUGAGUGACAAUCUUGAGUUACAUUUGCCUCUAAAAGACUCAUUUGCCAUUGCAGCGAAAAACGUUCAUCUAUAUAAACAAUGGCGUGCUGUCGGAGAAAUGUAAAGGAGUAUUGGCGGAGGAGCAGCUAAAAGAUUAAGAAAGAUAAACCAUCCCUUCAACUUACAACUAUAACAACAAAGAUAACUACUACGAAAAGCUAAUUUCCCCAGCUAAGCACUCGCAGCAGGAGAAAGAUAAGAGCAUCACCCCUGCUUAACAUAUACAUACAUACCUCUUCCACCCCAUUCUUAAAUACAAGGCCACGUACAUAUGUAUGUAUGUGUGCGUGCCACACGCGGAGGGAUUCAUUCAUCAACAUCUGAAGCAUCAUUCAUACAUAAAUUCGCUCCUGCCUCUCUUAUGAAUGAGCUGACGGGUUUUGCACACAGAAGCACUUUCGAUAUUCAACGCUUAGAUUUUGGGCAAUUUUGGCUGUGACGAACUAAAUAUCAGUAAUUGAUUUUCGGCAAAUUUUAGGUAAAAUUCGCAUAAUAUGUAUGUAUAUAAAUUCAAUAACCAAAAGGAAAACAGAACAGAAAUUAGAAAGGGUCGAGGUGAGCUAGUGAAAUAAUUAGUAGGUACAUAAUUAAGUGCAAAACAUUUUGAACACAAUCAAAUAUUGAAGCUUAUCCCAAAUUUUAUUUGUUUUUAAGCAAUUAGAUAUAUAAGUGUACACACAAACAUACAUACCUAAAAUUGUACACAUCCGCAAUAAAUACAACUUCAAAAAAAUUUUCUACUAAGUGGAAGUAACAAAAUUGGCAAAGUAAAUAUCUUCAACUACAUCCGAGAAGCUGCCAUGGACUACGAAAUUGAUAUUUACCAAAAUCAACUUGCAAUAGUUACAAUUUCGACAAAAUUAACUAUUUCGUCGCACUUAAUGCGUUUUUCAAAAGCACUAAUAUUCUGAAAUUUUCUGUGGUUAUUCUAACCACUCCUUAGAGUAUAACUUUCUCCAUCGAUGUCAACAGCACCACCCAAUACAUUUAUUUUUAAUAAAAAUGGCAGCCGUUUCUUGGAUGUCAUUGAAGAAUCCGAUAGGCCGGUAUUCUGAACAAGAAUUAAAAUCGCUGAAUAAUGCGUUAUUUUUGGAAAAUUUCUUUUAGGAAUUUGCUCACCUAGAAGUAAUCAUAUCCGAUGGCGCUCGAAAUUUUUAAUUUUAUGGAUUAUGAUCUUCGAAAACGAAGCAAAGUGUUAAAAGAAAUUUUAGUAGAAUGCUAAAAAAUUUAGUACACUCUUCUAUCUAAGGAAGCUUGAAAUUAUCCGAAGAAUAUAAAAUAAAUACCAAAAGAACCUUUUGAAUUUCUUCUACCCACGUAAAUCCGGCAGGGUUUAAAAAAAUCAUAAAUUAAUUAUACAUAGUACAUCUAAAACUUUUAUGUUACUAAAUAUGACAAUUAAACAUCAAAUUGUUUUUUA